UAGAAUGCUCAACACAAGGUACUGAUUCCC
rnacentral:piRNA from 1 species